rnacentral:rRNA from 1 species
UUUUGGACAAUGGGCGCAAGCCUGAUCCAGCAAUGCCGCGUGAGUGAAGAAGGCCUUCGGGUUGUAAAGCUCUUUUGUCAGGGAAGAAACGGUAGGAGCUAAUAUCUCUUGCUAAUGACGGUACCUGAAGAAUAAGCACCGGCUAACUACGUGCCAGCAGCCGCGGUAAUACGUAGGGUGCAAGCGUUAAUCGGAAUUACUGGGCGUAAAGCGUGCGCAGGCGGUUUUGUAAGUCUGUCGUGAAAGCCCCGGGCUCAACCUGGGAAUUGCGAUGGAGACUGCAAGGCUUGAAUCUGGCAGAGGGGGGUAGAAUUCCACGUGUAGCAGUGAAAUGCGUAGAGAUGUGGAGGAACACCGAUGGCGAAGGCAGCCCCCUGGGUCAAGAUUGACGCUCAUGCACGAAAGCGUGGGGAGCAAACAGG